CACCUGCCGCUCCUCUCUCAUCUCUAUUUCUCUACCCUCUCCUUCCCAAAAACCCAACACUGAAAAUCAAUCUCACCAAGAAGCCAUCCCCAUGCUGUUUGGUCCAAAAUCAAAAGAAGGCAUCAUUGAUCUUUCCAUGGUGCUACUCACAAGGACCGAUCUCCACCUUUGAGCGCUGACGAUAGCCAUCAAAAUUGGGCAGAUUACAUCAGAUGGUUGAAUUAGAACUUUGUUUCAGAAAAUUAGGAUCCGAAGACCCUCACACAGAUGAUGAAACCUUUGGAUUGGUGAUCUCUUCAAGCCUCACAAAACCUUGAUACAAUGCAAGGUUACACUUACAUCAUUAGUUGAAGGAGUGGUGUUCCUUUGCAAAGCAGCCAACAAAUAUAAAGUUAUCAACUUCAUUUUCUUUUGUUCUUCCAUGAAGAUGAGGGUGAUGCAUGUUCACAAAGCUUGAUGUGCAGGUUUAAAGAAAAGAGAUGACUAUAUGAGAUUGUAGAAGGAGAAUGUUUGGAUCUAGAUUGUCAUAGCAUUGAGCACCCUUGAUAGCUAUUGCGGUUGCUAUUGACUUCUAUGUAAAUUAAAUGCCUACAACAAAUAGAGAUGUGGCAAUAGUGUUUAUUGGAAUUCUUUUGACAGUAUUUGAUCUACAAAAUACAUUAGAGCGAAAAGUGAAUUUAUGUAGUGAGACUAAUUUACAAUUAAUAUGAAGUGUGUUUUCAUUGUUUCAAAAUUGAAUUUGGAUUUUGACUUUGAGCCAAGUAAACAUACAAAGGUUGCAAUCCUUUGCAAAUAGAUUUUCCAUUAUCUUAUUGUUGCUUUAGUUUUCAACAUUAUUUUCUAAAAAAAAAUAGUUAUUUCUUUCUUUCUUUUUCAAUGUCUUUUUUCUUUUUUUUUCUUUCCUUUUUAGCUUUUUCUAGGUGGGCAAAUCAA